rnacentral:rRNA from 1 species
AGCGAACGCUAGCGGCGGGCCUCAAACAUGCAAGUCGCACGCGAAAGUGUAGCAAUACACAAGUAGAGUGGCGCACGGGUGAGUAACACGUAACUAACUUCCCCUCUCGCUGGGGAUAACUCCGGGAAACCGGAGCUAAUACCGAAUGAUCUCUUUUGGACUGCGGUCUAGACGAGUAAAGCCUUACGGUGCGAGAGGAUAGGGUUGCGGCCUAUUAACUAGUUGGUGGGGUAAAAGCCUACCAAGGUUACGAUAGGUAGCUGGUCUGAGAGGACGAUCAGCCACACUGGAACUGACACACGGUCCAGACUCCCACGGGAGGCAGCAGUUGGGAAUUUUGGACAAUGGGGGCAACCCUGAUCCAGCCACGCCGCGUGAAUGAUGAAGGCCUUCGGGUCGUAAAGUUCUUUUAGUUGGGAAAAACACAAUGAUGGUACCAACAGAAAAAGCACCGGCUAACUCCGUG